CUCUUGGGCACUCAAUUCCAUGGGUGCCAUUAAAAACUGUGUGAUGUGUAUAAGUACGAAUACAUUUUUUUUUUCUGAUUCCGUCAGAUUCUCAAAAGAAAAUUGUUGCCCCAAAGCAGUAAAGGACUCCUACAAACACAAAAUAUGCCCAAACCAUCUCUUUAACACCAAUCCUUCUGACUCUCCCGCUUCUGCCACAGGUACCAGAGUCUCCUAGGCAAGUUAGCCUUGUCACCUUGUUGUAUUUUGACUUCUCACUGUCUUUACCCUCUGCACUCAGGUAUUCAGUAAGUUCUGUUAAUUCUUCCCAUUCAAUGGCUGUUGGAACUAUUCUAUCUCCAUUGUCACAAUUCUUGACUAUCAGCUGUCCUCUUUUUUAGAUCCUUAAAUAGUAACAUCUUAACCGAAUCAUUAUCACUUGUCCCUACUUGCUCAGAUCUAUCUUACUAGAUGAAUGUUUAAAACACUGUGUUCUUGUUGGCCACUUGUUCAAAGAUUCCGUGGUGUUUCCUUUCCUGGGCAGAACCUUGUACAGUUCAGUCUUGGCCCAUCUUUCCAGCCUCUUACCAACUGAUGUUUUAUCUCCUGGUUAGUAAACACUCUUCUAUUCAUUCAUGUUUGUUGCUUGUUGGUCUGUUUUUCAGACUUGCGAUAUGUCUAUUUGUAGUUCACACCACUGCUUGUCUUUCUUAAGAAAUAAAAAUGCAACUUAUCUCCAAAAGGGGUUAAUUCUUGGACCUGAGAUGUUAUGCUCAUUUCCUGUUCUGAAUUUUUGUUGAUUCUCCAGGGCCCUUCCUGGAGUAGUCCUUCCUUCUAUCCAUCUACAUAUAUUGUUGUUGUUGUUGUUGUUGUUGUUUUUAAGGCUGCACCUGAGGCAUAUGGAAGUUCCCAGGCUAGAGGUCCAAUUGGACCUGCAGCUGCCAGCCUACGCCACAGCCACAGCAAUGUGGGAACUGAGCCACAUCUGCAACCUACACCACAGCUCACUGAAACACCAGAUCCUAACCUACUGAGCGAGGCCAGGGAUUGAACCCACAUCCUCAUGGAUAUCAGUCGGGUUUGUUACCACUGAGCUACAACGAGAAUUCUGCUCACAUUUUUCUUAUUCUACUUUCCACAACAAGCAAUCUCAUACCAUCUGAAACUUCUCUCUCUCCCAGUUAUGAAUUAUUACAGGACUUACUGUUUUACUCAUGUUGACACUUACUUCUAUAAUAUGCUGUAUUGAUAUUUAAACAUUUUAAGCAUUCCUUUCCCAAAUAGAUUAUGAGGCUCUAGGAGGCAAGACUUCUCCCAAAUUAAAUAUGCCCUGUAGCUCUUACCACACUUAUAUACAUCCACUAGGCACAAAUACUUGUCAAGCAUUUAUAAAUGUCAGUGUAAAAAUAUAUGGAGUUUUGCUUAUUCAUAUUAUACAUGACCUUUUCACAUUCCAAAAAAGAGCUGUACUAAAAACUCAAGUGGUCGUUCCUGUAUGUGGAAGUACUUUUAAGUGUUAGUCUAAAAACAAAGUAUUACACAACAGGCUGAGGUGGGAUUUGGUUGGGGGAAAUGUAGAAGCUGUUGGGUUAGAAGUCAUCAGCUGGAGAUAAAAAGAAAUGAAACUAUGAAAAACAGUCAAUGACAAAAGUCUCUUUUACAUCAACUUUUCCGAAAUUCGUUCAUCAUGUAACACGGUUCACAUUUCAAAAAAAAAAGAGGUAUUCAGUAUCCUCGUUUACAUCAUAUAUAGCAUUAUCCUGAGGUAAACUGAGAGAGGACAAAAUUUAUGUUUGGGUUCAGAUUGUGGCUCUGCUGGUUAUUCAGUGUGAUAUCGACCUGGUCAUUGAACUUCUCGGAGCCUUGAGAAGGCUUGAGGCUCUGGUCAUUUAACUUCUCAGAGCCUCUCCCCCCAUCUAGAACACUGAGAUAAUAAUACUUACCUGAUAGGACGUUGUGAGAAUAAAAUGAGGUCGUAUAUACAAGGGCUUUAGUAAAGUGUUUGCAGCCAGUAGGCAAUCAAUCAAUGGUGGCUAAUAUUACUCUUUAUUCAAUGUGGAGAGAGUUGGAGGAAUAGGUGGGUCUGACGGUUCACUUAAGAGACUUGGAGGUGCCAGGGAAGACAUAUGCCAUAAGUAGGGAUGAGUGAUUGUGCAGAGUGAUACAGCAAGGAAGGUCAUUUGGAAUGGUGUAGACGGCACUGAAAGGCUGGGAGGUGAAGAGUAUGGUUGGGCUACUUUAUGCACAAUUAUUUAGAGGUUGCUCUUCCAUGGCAUACAUUAUGUUUUCAAGUUUUUCUGUUUUUUGGUUUUUUGUCUUUUCUAAGCCCACACCAGGGGCAUAUGGAGGUUCCUAGGCUAGGGGUCUAAUCGGAGCUGUAGCCACCCGCCUAUGCCAGAGCCACAGCAACGAGGGAUCUGAGCCGCAUCUUCGACCUACACCACAGCUCCCAGCAACGCUGGAUCCCCAACCCACUGAGUGAGGCCAGGGAUUGAACCUACAACCUCAUGGGUCCUAGUCAGUAGUUAACCACUCAGCCAUGACGGGAACUCCUAUGUUUCCAAGUUUAACUUAUACACUAAAUUAGCAUCUUGACUAGAAUAGGUUUUUAGUAGGUAAAAAAAAUGAGCAUUCUCAGGAUUUCAGUUUUAGUGACAGAAAAGGAAAUUAGGGUGAGAAGUUGAGAACAGAGGGGAUUCUUUCUACAAUGUUGCUCUCCAUCCCUUCCAUACAGACCUGCCUCUGUCAGGGACAGAUUCUUUCCUCCUCAAAGUUAAGACUAUGGCAGCAAAUUGCAAGACUUAACAGCAGAACUAUGUGGAAUAGGAUUGGCUGAGUAGACUCAUGUUAUGUGAUCAAAACACAAAGCAAAAAGGUCAUUCCAGGUGUUCCCGACGUGGCUCAGUGGUUAACAAAUCUGACUAGGAGCCAUGAGGUUGUCGGUUCAAUCCCUGGCCUCGCUCAGUGGGCUGGGGAAUCCGGCAUUGCUGUGAGCUGUGGUGUAGGUCGCAGAUGCGGCUCGGAUCCCAUGUUGCUGUGGCUGUGGCACAGGCUGGCUGCUGCAGCUCCAGUUGGACCCCUAGCAUGGGAACCUCCAUAUGCCGCGGGUGCAGCCGUAGAAAA
rnacentral:lncRNA from 1 species